CACACACACACACACACACACACACACACACACACACACUUGAACCGACAGGAGCUCGUGUACUUUGAAAGCCUAGACACGAACCUUGACGUUUCCAGGGGGAGAGAGAUGUGCGUCACAGAAGGCUUUGCACCAGAGCUUCUCUAAACAGGAUCUCUUCUGUGAAAUGGGACAACAGCGCCCUCCUCAGAGUGGCUGUGAGGAUGAAAUGAGAAACGACAGUAAAGCGCUCAGCACAGUGGAUCAACCAAAACAACAAAGAAGGAAUCAAAGCCCGUGAUUGACAGUCCAGCAGGAACCCAGCAGAAGACUCACCACCCACACCGAGAAAAAUGUGGGAAAGCCACUUCUUCCAAUCCUGGGGAGCCACCACCGACCCUUCCCAGCUCCUUCCACCUGCACCCUCUGAGCUCUGGUUUCCUGGAAAAGGACCUGCUCAUAGGACCUGGGGCCCUCCAUCACCCCAGAGUGUCCCAUCCCCAACUUGAGCGACAAGGGAGCAUGAGAAGGGCAGAGAGCAGCCCCGGCUCCUCCUCUCUCAGGUGGCGUUCUCAGGAUUGCUCAGAUGCGGGGCUGGGAUGUGAGCUGGAAUCCUGGCAUGAGGAGAAAUGGGCCUCCUCCCAUCACCCUUGCUCCACUUCUUCCCUUCCCUACCCCACAGCCAGCUGCGCCCCUCCACGCAUAUCUUCACACGUGGGCAGGUCCCUGCUCCCCAGCCAAGUGUCCCAGUGCGCCCGAGGCCUGCCUUGAAGCUGAUCC
rnacentral:lncRNA from 1 species